AUUUUGUCUUCUUCAGGUCUGAGGAGCUGGAGGAGGAGGUGGAAGCUGAAUGAACCAUGAGAGCCAAGUUAAUUUCAAGAUGGAGCUGAUAGGAAAUGUGAGGCUGGCAGCAGCACUGAACAAGAGGCAGUCCAAUGUGGUGUCAGAGCUGGACGAGCAGCUUGAAACAUCUCCAGGCUUAAAGCUUAACUAGAGAGAGAUAAACAGAGGUUAAAGAUCUCAACAUCAGCAGAGAGCACAUUCAGAUGCAAACUUUCAGUGUGUCUCCAAAAGGCUUGAGGAGGCGGCCUCAAACCAGAGCUGCCAGCCUGGAGAAUGGUCAAGCAGAGGCUGCAGAUUACCUCACUGUAGACCUAGAAAUUCAUGUAGACAAAUGUCACUGUGUAGCUAGAUUUCUAAAACAAACCAGCCCAUGGAUGCUUCAAGUGUACGUCUGGACCAAAGGAAAUUUGUCUUAAAAAGCAGAUUUGUUCUAUAGUUUGCUAAAUCUACCAGUUUCACUGCCCAUCUCUGUGGAGAACAAGCUUGGUGAAGGUAGCCACAAUGUCCAUGAGGUACAGAAGGCCAAGAAGAAACUGGAGGUGAAGGAGGAGGCUGAAGCUUCACUAGGAGUACAAAAACUACCACAUUUUCCCAGAAAAAGAAACUAGCUUGUAUGAAUUCUGACUAUAGAACCGUGUGGGAAAAGACGACAGAGGUCACAUUGUCACAGUUUCUAAUCUUCAUAUGAUGAGACUAUUGAGGACUAAAAUCAAACACACAGAAAUGUGUAUCUGUGGCACCAGCCACUUUCAGAAGUCAUAAGAACGAUGCACAAUAACCACGUCUGAUUGGUAAAAAGAACCAAGCUCAGACUUUUGCGAUUCAGAACUGCAAAUAAUACAAGUCAACACAAAUUACACUGUAUGUAUAUAAAACAUAAAAAAAUGCAUAUCUUAAUUAUAUUUGUCUCAGGCAAUUCUGUUAGACUGGUCAAAAUAAAAUGUGUAAAUGUGAUCAGGGCAACUACCUGGACAGGACCAAGAAGAACCAGGAGCAAAACCUCAGCUUUGAGGGUGGAAGAUGCUGAGAGUCAUUAACAGGAGGAAAAAAUAAUACAGCAUCCAAAAAGUGGAAAACCAGGGUGAGGCGUUUUAGAGAGGAGAACGGGAGGUCUCUUAGUAUGUUUUACAAAGCCAAAUGUUCAGCUACUUAUGUUAUGACUGUGUUUCAUUUACUGACUGAUUAUUUACA